UUGAUCCUGGCUCAGAAUCAACGCUGGCGGCGUGCGUAACACAUGCAAGUCGAACACGAAAGUGGGGGCAACUCCAUGAGUAGCGUGGCAGACGGGUGAUUAACACGUGAACAACCUACCCUCGAGUGGGGAAUAACCCCGCGAAAGCGUGGCUAAUACCGCAUAAUAUCCUUGGGGCGCAUGUCCUGGGGAUCAAAAGUCUCGGUUGCUUGAGGAGGGGUUCGCGCCUGAUUAGCUAGUUGGUGAGGUUACGGCCCACCAAGGCAACGAUCAGUAGCCGGCCUGAGAGGGCGUACGGCUACACUGGAACUGGGACACGGUCCAGACUCCUACGGGAGGCAGCAGUGGGUAAUUUUGCGCAAUGGGCGAAAGCCUGACGCAGCAACGCCGCGUGGAGGAUGAAGGCCUUCGGGUCGUAAACUCCUGUCAGGGGGGACGAAAUGUCCUGCUUAAGUGGGACACGGACUGUACCCCCGGAGGAAGCCACGGCUAACUCCGUUCCAGCAGCCGCGGUAAUAAGGU
rnacentral:rRNA from 1 species